GAAAAACACAUCACAACUAACACACCUCAGUUUUCCCGUUUUCUCAUUUUUCCCUCCAACAAACUUUUUCCCCAUUCUACCUCACUCCACUCACUCUAUAUAACUCAUUCACUCCCUUUCAUUCAAGACACUAAUUUUUGGAAAGAGAAAUCAGAUCUACAACCUUUCUCUAUUUUCUCCAUUUUUCUUCUUGGAAGCUCUUGCUACUUGGUAUUUUCUGUUUCUCCCUUACCUCAUUUGUAUCAUCUAAGGAUCAUAGAGCAAGUUUUAUUGGGUUUCUGGAGAUCUUAA